rnacentral:rRNA from 1 species
UUGAGUUUGAUCCUGGCUCAGAUUGAACGCUGGCGGCAUGCCUUACACAUGCAAGUCGAACGGCAGCAUGAUCUAGCUUGCUAGAUUGAUGGCGAGUGGCGAACGGGUGAGUAAUACAUCGGAACGUGCCCUGUAGUGGGGGAUAACUAGUCGAAAGAUUAGCUAAUACCGCAUACGACCUGAGGGUGAAAGUGGGGGACCGCAAGGCCUCAUGCUAUAGGAGCGGCCGAUGUCUGAUUAGCUAGUUGGUGAGGUAAGGGCUCACCAAGGCGACGAUCAGUAGCUGGUCUGAGAGGACGAUCAGCCACACUGGGACUGAGACACGGCCCAGACUCCUACGGGAGGCAGCAGUGGGGAACUUUGGACAAUGGGGGCAACCCUGAUCCAGCAAUGCCGCGUGUGUGAAGAAGGCCUUCGGGUUGUAAAGCACUUUUGUCCGGAAAGAAAUCGCACUUACUAAUAUUAGGUGUGGAUGACGGUACCGGAAGAAUAAGGACCGGCUAACUACGUGCCAGCAGCCGCGGUAAUA